UAGCAUUACAAAGAGAAAAAAGCAAAGCAUAGGAAAGGCAACACUUUCAUCUAGGUCUUGCUGCUCAGCAUGUGCCUUAUCUAGUGCCCUUUUAAUGCUUCCAGGAAUAAUUGAACUGAGCCAGUCUUACUUAUCAAGGUAAAAGCAUUUUACCCCAGAAUAUUGUGUGCUCCUACUUCAGUUUCUUGCAACCAUAUGAGCUAUUUUUCACGCUCUGGUUUUGUUCUCAUGUGACAUUUUCAUGCUCCUCGCUUAUAGCCACUCUUUGGCUGCUAAUGCUCCAGGAAUUUCUGCUAGCAGAGGCAUUGGGUCAGGAGGUUGUAUGAUUCAGAUGGUUUUUGGCAGUGAAAAGCAGAGGAGGAAAUUGUGGAAACGCUUUGAAAUUACGAAUUAAAUCCUGGGCAUCUGUGGCUCGGUGCCAAGGCAAUAGAAAUCAUAGAAUCAUUAAGAGUGGAAAAGACCUCUAAGAUCAUGUAGUCCAAUCAUCCAACCAUCAGUCUAUGCCUGCUAAUCCAUGUCCCUCCAUGCUGCAUCUCAUGGUUCUUGAAUGCCUCCAGGGACAGUGACACCAAUACCUCACUUCAGAGCGCUGUGCUCUUUCCAAGUGAGCUCUUUCCAAGUGAGCAGCUCCGUGUGAGCAGCAGGGCGAGUGGCAUCACCGUGGCACCCCUGCAGUUCUACUGCUGCAUGUAACUGUGUUCCCCAGGACUGUCACAAGGGUUGUUGUAAUCCUUGGGUUAGGAGAAGGCUCUUUUUCAAGAGGAUGGUUGCACAAGCCCAGUUCCAAGAACUGGCUGCACUAAGCACAGAAAAUCCAGGCAGGAUUAGGGUUUCUGACAUUGCCAGCGGGUUUUCCCAACCCUUAGGGACUGUGGUGUGCCCAGCACAAGCCGUAGAGCAUCUGCAGCAGAGCUACUUGUUUAAUGGCAGCAUGCUACGGCCGUGUCAUGGAGCUGAGCUCCCAGUGGACCACAGUGCAGUCCUGUGCAGUCUCAGAGCUGGGGGAGGUCAGUGUCCCCUCACCACAAAGCAAUGGCAUGUUGCAGCAGAGCUGUGAGGUUUUAAGGCCAGCUGUAGCCCUCUUAUUUUUUUUUCUUUUUCUUUCUUUUUUUUUUUUUGUCACGAAAAGAAAUUUUCCAGUGUUGACAGUGACCUUUGCCUUAAGCAUUAUCUCUUUCCAGUGAGCUCCUGUGGAUUUUGCUACUGCCUCUGAGUGGACUUCACUCACCAUGACUUCAACUGAGUAGGCAGGGGCUGUGUGUUUGCUCUGGCACCUCUGAAAGGUUGAGGUGAACUUAGUCAUACCAGUUUUCCUUCCUGUUCCUCAGUAAGAAAUCACACCCAUAGCAUUAGAUUGUAAAACAGGAGACAAAAGUCAAAUACAUCUUUUUUUUGACAUCUUUCUAAAGAAGAGACACAAUUGAUGCCAUUAGUAAUAAUUAAAGAUAAAGCUUCCACUUAAAAAUGCAGGCUCUCUUGCAGAGCUGCUGGGCUCAGCCAGUUUGCUCACAGUGAAGCUUCCUGCAGGGUUGGAAGCCCCGGGGAAGGAUGUGCAGCCAAUGUGCUCCAUGUACAUCCCUGUCCUGGGAAGGGUUAAGGAUGUGGCUUUUUUUGCUUAUCUGGCGCUAUCUUCAUCAGUCUAUCUGCUUUCCCUUAUUACUCCUAUGGGAGUUUUUUGUUUCUGAAAUCACUCCUCUUGAAAGUUGCAGCUCCCGAUUCUUCCUUUGGGUCUCUAAUUUUGCAUUAAACAGUUGGAGGAGUGAAGGACAAGUAUUCCUGUCCCAGCUAAACCUCUGAAAACACCCAUGUAGUGCUAUUUCCUACUUCAAGAGGUGAGCCCAUGUGUCCUCUCACAGAUAUUUUAUUGGGAUCAGAAAGUCAGCCUUUUCUAACCUGCAUACUUGUAAUACCACUGUAUGUGCCUCUCAAGAUCAUUAUACAUUAGUCAUAAGAUUUCAGGGACUAAAUCAAGACCAGGUGUCAACAGAAUUAUGUUGACCACAUUACACCGUCUUCCUCAUGUACAUUAUGAACUCUUUUCCCUUUUUUGUUUUCUGAGUAUUGUUUUAUCAUUUUUAGCAGCUAUCAGAUUAAACGUCUGCCAAAAUUGUUUCCUUCAUAAACACUUCUGAAAGAGCUCUUGCUUUUUUUCCAUCCACAAACAUUUAGUUACUUUUUUUUUUUUUUCCAUCUGGUCAGCUUAGCUCAUAACUUCCCCCAAUUUAUAUUAGAUCUGAUGAACCAUCUGGUGCUUAUAUUACUGUUUGGGACUGCCCUCUGUUUGCUCACACUGACCAUCAUCAGACAGCAGUCACUACUUUCUGAGCAACUACCACCUUCAAAAUUAAAUUACCUUUCCUUGCCCUGAGAAGCACCUUGUGCAGCCUGUCCUGCCGCUGCAAGCACAUGCUGAGAGUGGGCACCAACCUUGCUCAGCCUCAGCAGGGCAGCACAACCUGCUCACUGGUGGCUUUCUCUUUUAUUCUUCAUUCCUUUUAUUUAUGAAAGAUCCACUUGCCUAGAUGCAGCUUGAAUGAAUGGUUGGGAAGCUUUUUACCCCAGCAAUAUCCCCGUAGGUCAUAAUCUUUCACCUUUGAGACAGGUGAAGUCUGAGCAUCCAGAUGUCCCCCACGAUUUUAAAGCAUAUCUCAAGCAAAUUGCACACUCAGUAUGAUGUGAACCUCACAGCCAGAGCAGCCAGUAUUUCUCAGGUGCCACGUAUCUCUUGCAGAACUACACAGUGAGCAGCCCCGAUGCUGCACGUUGUGCUGGGCAGGACCCCAGCUGCUUGCAGGAACAUCCCACAGCCGUGGUGCAUGGAGCGCCCACAGCCAUCGCACGGCCGUGCAUUUUGGUAUGCAUGGGGCUCCCCAAAUGAGUGCAUGCAGCCCCUCUGCACCGUGUGUUCGAAGGGCAGCGAGACAGCAGUGAGAGCCCCAAAUGAGUAAGCCUGGCCUGAGGUUUUCUCUGUAUUACGCACAGCAGCCCUCGCGUUCCGAUGGGCUUUAACAGGGGAUGGCACUGUGGCUCCCAGCCCUCGCUCUGCGAGCCCACCUCAUAGCUGUCACCCUUCACUCCCCAGGCAUGUGGGCAGCCAUAAGAGGGGUGACGCUGCAAGACCCAAGCAUGAGCUGGUAUGAGCUGCUAGCCCUGUGCCAUGGGUGUUUGCUGCUUGCUGACAGAUGCUUCGUUUUCUCCCUCAGCUGCUGCUUUCAGAGGUCCUUAAGUGAAAUACAAACAGCUCUGCUAGCUUCUAGGGAGGGUUCUAAGGACAUAAGAACACAGCAGGCUGUGAGGGCAGGUUCUGGGGCCGGCAGGGGCAGCUGGGAAGGAAUAGGGCAGCCAGCUGUGUUUGCUUCCAGGAGUGCCUCUGGGAAUGCCUGCACUGAGGUUGCUUUGUGUUGGGGUUUGCUGAAUCCAGCAGCACAAGAGAGAUGAGGGUGCUGCAGCACUGACAUUCUAGCAGGGACACUGUGUGUGCACGCAUAGCAAGUGCAUGUAUAGAUGUAGUAUGUGCAUACAUGCAAUUCAUGUACACGUACACAGCCAUGCAGCUCAGCACAUGCACAAUACCCAAUCACUUGCAAACAGCACAAAUGGCCUCAUCCUCUUCCCCUCGCAGACAAAUCAUCAUGAAAGCCCACAAGCGGAAUAUCUAUCUAUCCAUCUAUCUAUCUGUGCAAUGUAGAUGGCCAGCCAGUGCUGUGCCACACAGUCUGUGCAGCCUAUCCCCUGACUCCCACAUCACUUACCGCAGUCACCAGCCGGCCCGGCUUGCUGUGUGCUAGCACUUGCACACACCAUCACGCAUCCUACACCCCCGUUCCUCCAGCUGCUAGGGUUUGAGGCUCCCUCCACGUUCUGCUGCUUCCGCUUCCUUACGUGCUCUGUGCAUUGAACAGAGCCCCUCACCUGGGAGACGGCUAUAAAGAGAGCUCAGUCAGAAGACAUGGCACAGCCAGAGCAGCACCCAGUGCCCUUUUUGUCCUUUUUCCCUGUUUUUCCAUGCUUGUUCCUCCCCAGACUGCACUGGUCCCUCCCUUUCUACCCCUCCUUAUUCUUCCCACAGACAUCCCACGAUAAGCCCUACACAAUCCCCAAAGGCUCUUCUUGGCAUCCCAUAGCAAGUCUGUGCCUUUGGGUAAUCACGCCUUGUGUAUUCUGGACAGACAAGAGAGCGCUGCGCUCCUUGGGGCGGACGCAGGGGCCCUGGGGAUGUGUCAGACUCUGAUCCCAGCAGUACCCUGUUCUCCGUCUGCUGCUUCUGGAACACACAGGCUGAACAAUACAUCUGUUUCUUUUCAAUAGCUGCAGCCUUCAGGACAGGCUCCUGAGCCGAUACUGGGUGGGAAGACUGUUGAAAAUUUUUACCAUGAGACCACGAGAACGGUCCAGGAGAGGACAAACUACAGGAAAUGACCAUAGGGAGCAGCAGCAGUGGGAUGGUGAUGGCUCUGUCAUGCAUCAACUUGAUAAGGUCAGCCACGGUCGUCCUCAUGGAGAGCAGCCAAGGUGCUCAAGGUGCAGCUGAGGUAACAGCUCCUUCCCUCACAGUCCCCAUGUUCCUGAAAGUUUGUAUGUGUUCCCAUACAAACUGUAACAAUUCGGAUGUUUUGAAAGGUCCUUGCCAGUGGUGAGGGACUCCAGACAUAUUACUCACUCUGCAAAAGACUCCAGACCAUGUCAUGCUUCUUGUUAGGCUUGCAUGUGAGUUUCUUUUCUUUGGUCCUUCACCAAGAUUCUACUACCCCACUGUGGAGCACAUCUCAUCUGUGCAGCUGUCUUUGGGAAAAGGGCUAUUAACCUACUGUAUUAUUUUUUUUUUAAAAAAAGGAAAUCUGCAAGCACGGUGUAAUGCACAGCACGGGGGUGUGAGAUGGUGUUGUGGGUUCGAGCUGUUCUCACCACUAAUCUGUCUUCUGGAGGUCUGUGCCAGCACUGGGGUAUGCCCCCUGCCCUUGAUGUCCCCAGCCCUAACCCUGCCGCUGCUACCAGCUUCACACCUGUGACCCCAGUGGUUGUGACUGUAGGAAAGAUGACUUCCUCCAGUCAUCUGGCUGGCAUGCCAGACGUCAUUUCUUCAUCAGCUUUUGGGGGAGUGUUUCCCACCCUGCACAUGGCUGGAGGCUGGCUGUGUCCCCAGCCGGGGGCUGCUCCCUUGGGUCUCUGCCCCCUGGUGCUCUGACUCACCAAGAUGAGUCUGAAACAAAGAACUCUCAUAAAAUCUACAGGAAGAUGUGUGUGAAAAUAGAGAUCUCAUUUACCGAGACACCACCAACUCCUCACUGGAACCAGCAAAUGAAAAGACAGCACUCUUGUGCCCAGCAAGAUCCCAGACCUGCUUCCUGGGUAAGUUCUGAGCCAGGUAGGAGUAGGGCACAGCAGGGACAUGAAGCGGUGAGCUUCAGGCUAGUGAUCCCAGGAGAGAAUUGGACGUGAGAUGAGGUACUUCAAAAAUAGAAAACUCACGUCUGAAAUGAGCAGAAAAACCACAGAUAGGGACAGUGUUAAGAUGUGGCUAAACUGCUGAGGAAUUCCCCCCAUGGAGUGCACCACGCAUCAGCCUUAGCUGCUGCCUCCCAGCCCCACACGGCCACCAUGGAGCCAGGGGGAGGCUCGGGGGGAUUUCUGCAGGGACUGGGGCAGCACGUGGGGCAGCACAUGGGGAACCAGAGCCUCACGCAGCAACCCCAUCUCACAGCUCCAUUUCUCCAGACUGUAAAUGAGCCAGAGUACAGCAUGCACCUGCUUCACCAGUGCAAGGCAGGUGGCACUGCUAUCAUGUCCUGACGUGCUCCAGACAUGCCUCCAUGCUCUGAAAGGGAUCCUUAGCUUUUCUUCCCUCCCUGGUUUCAGUUUUGAAAGCAGCAGCAGCUCCAUGCCUCAGACAUGGCAGGAGAUGCUCCUACAGUGCCCUCAGUGCCCGGGCGAGAGGUCAGCCUGGUUCCCAGCUUCAGCCCAACGCAGAGGGCAGCGUGAGGCUGAGGCCACGCUUCCAGAGGGACUGGAUGGUUGAGAAAACACUGUGAUAGCAGUGCUCAUUCCAGCCCCACAGCUGUCUGCUGCAGUGCAGGCUCUGAGGGGCAUCCACUGUUUUUUUUUCCUCUACAGUUGUCAUUGUCGGAAACCAUUAAGGAAUGAGCCAGCAAAGGCCCGGAAAGAUUCCAUGAGUAAUAAUCUUGGAGCUUUGCCCAGGCUUAAUAACAGAAUAACAAACAACAACAUGAAUAAAGGGAGAGCAGGCUGUGUGCAAGAGGUCUCCAGUGGCUGCAGGAUCUAUGAAGAUUUGGUUGUUGAUGCUGAGUUUUAAGACAAUUGGCUCUUCAGGAACCGGCUCCUCCCUUGAGUAUCUCAGUGAAGGAUAGCAUUCUGUAUGUAGCACACCAUCUUCUUGGUCUCUUCAAAGGUAUGAAUGCAUCCACCAAGCCCCUGGAGGCUGGGACUGCCCUCCUGGGGUGAGUCAGUCCACAGAAACACAGUAGGGAUCAGCUGUGCUGAGCAACAGAACAUUGUGCCUUCAGCAUGACAAGACACUGUGUGUGUAUACUCAUGCCUACACAAAGGCGUUUGUCUUUUCUGUUUUUUCUAACCAUGCGUGUCCUGAAGUCUCAAAUAAUGCAAAUUGUCCCUGUUAUUGCCCAUACACGUAGCUCCCUAUGCUGUGUUUUUCUUGACAGCUCCAGGAACACAGUAUUAGGAAUCUGCAGCACCCCACAAUGCACAACCCCACCUCCACACACAGGUGAAGGGGACUGCAAUUGUCACCCACUCAUUCAAUCCCUUCUGCUUCUCCAAUGUUUUGCUGUCUUCCUUUGGGAACAAGGAUGCUGAAGAUGGCAGGACUACACCAGCUGUUUUGGAAACAGGAUGCUCUGCUCGAGCGUCAGCAGUGCUGCCUUUGCAGCAGGCAGGAGUGAAACUGAGAAACCUAAAGCAAAGGGAUAAUGCAGCUGCUGUGUGAACAGCUCCAGGAUGCUUAGCUCAGCUGUAAGUGGGGGUGUGGGGAAGGCAGUGGCACAUCCUUGCCCUUUGAAUGUGGGCCAGGAAAGGGAGCCGUAUCUCAGCAAGGCACCUUACACAUGGGGGCCAGGCUGGUCCAUGGGGCACUGCACUGCUGUAGGGCAGGAACAGGGCCAGCCACAGGAGGGAUGCACACAGCUGCAACACAGGACAAAACUAGAGGAGAGGUGCUGACAGAUGCAGCCCAGAAGAGGUGGAGGUGCCCAAGGCCAGGUUGGAUGGGGCCCUGGACAGCCUGAUCUGGUGGGAGGCAGCCAGCUCACGGCAGGGGGUUGGAACUGGGUGAGCAUUAAGGUCCCUUCUAACCCAAGCCAUUCUGUGAUCCUAUGAAAGCCUACUUAAGCCCAAAAGACUGUUAUAUCUGAACAUCAACCCUCGAUGUUGUAAGUGGAUGAGAAUGGAGAGAAAGCUGGUGGGUGAGCAUUAGUCUGAAACCAAAACUUAAUCUGUGACAGGCUUUAAAAACAAACAAAUAUGACAACUUGAAACAAUCUUCUGGUGAAUAUUUUGGAGAAAGCGAGGGCAGAGGUAAAUUUAAAGCAGACUGAUCUGCCUUGUGAUUUCUUUCUGGUGGGAAAAUAGCAUUUCUAAUAAGAAAUGAAAGUUUCAGUGGAAAACGUCUGAAAUGUUGCUUUAGGGAAAAGCAACAUGAGAGUAUCUGCUACCAUCAGCAUUUCACACAGUUUAAUAACAAAGUACAAAUAUCUGAGAAACAAGUCCAUAGUUCACAGCAACACCUACCCCCUGCUGGCUUUCUAAACCCUGGCUAGAAGAUCCACUCCUGAGAUAGACAUCAAGCACCCUGGGAGACUGCUGCUGUCCAGCAGACAAAUGAAAAGCCCUCAAGCAGGCUUAUCUACCAUCAGCUGCAGCAGGGUGACAACUCCAGAAGGUGCUGGGAAGACUCCUCAGACAGGGCCAAGCCACCAUGUAGGAUGUAACAGCACCUUACUGCAUGGCACCACGGCAGGAGGCAUAAGGAAGAAUGAGAAGAAAGGGCCACAGCUCAUACUUGGAUAGGAACAUUGGUUGCAGCACUCUAGAGCAAGGGCUGAAGGUCAUCAUAAGGCUGAAAAAGGUUAUGGGUUGUUCCAUGGCACAACCAGCAGCCUUUCCUGUAGGCAAAGCUCCCCUUCUCUUUCUGCUUAUCAAAGUAGAGUUUCAGAAGUGGCAUGUCAUUGCACAGAAACAGAUAUCUGAUUCCGGGCACUUUUAAAUGCAACAAAGACAUAGAAAAACCCACCAACAGGAAACUGGUUUCAGCAAUUCAAAUGGAAACAAUGCAUUAAUAAUAGCUAGCCCUUUUAUAACGUACAGCAGUCAAGGCAGUCACUGAGCUGACACUUAUCCUCUUCAGCAAUGAUCCCUGCAGCACCACUCAGAUACCAGGCCAGAGGUGGCCAGGUGAGCCCUUGAGCACCUUCCUGGCCAGCCAGCAGCAAAGGGAGGGGCAGGAUGUAGGGCAAUGCUUUCCAAUUCUUUCAACAUGCUGUACCCCCACUGUUACAGGAAGGCCAGUGUUUCAACAAGAGACCCAGGGGCAGCUUGUACCACUCAAACACAGAACCCUUUUAGCUUACAUGGCCCUCAGCUAGAACAAGCACAGGCCUCCGAGACUUCACACGAGCAUCCUCAGUCUACGGGUGUGAAAACCCCAUCAACCAGAUGCUAUCUAGAGACACAAAUUCAUUUCCCAGCAAUAAAUUAAUCAAAAAUACUAUAAAAGAGAACUUCACUUGCAUGAAGCAUUUCUCAGUGAAAAGAUUAUUCUUACAGUUAAAUUCAUACAGUUAAAACUCAACUCUACUUCAGCCUGUUGUGAACUAGGAAAAAAGGAAACCAUCUGAUUGGAGCCUUUGACUACAACCAAACUCAGUCCCAGGACCACAGGUAAGUUACAGAGGCUGCUCAGGGGUGGCCAGCAGAAACCUGCACCUUGUCCCUGACAAACAGCCUCACCUGGAGCAUGUGAGGGAUGCAUAGAACAUAUCACACAACUCCUCAAAACAUGUCUUGAACAAGAGUCUUGAAGGAAACUGGCUAGCACUGCUCUCUCAACAUGAACUAAGAUCUCCUUGUGUCUCCCUGUCAAGGGAGACCCCAGUGUUUGGGCACAAGUGAUGUGUGUUUCUUGCAAACUUCUUGCAGCUGUGCAAGUAAGGUGGGGAUUACCAAGUACAGUAUUCCCUUGAGCCCGUGUUUGCCUCAAGGGUUGGUAAAUAUUGGCCUUCUCGGGCAGGAUGGGUGCAUUUACCUGAUCCAGCUUCCCUGUCCCAGGUGGAGAGCAGAACCUUUUUCAAACCCCAGUUUGGGGCUCCUGGGUAUUCACAAAUACAGUGAAUUUUUUUUUUCCCCCACAGAUUAAAGGAAAACUCGAGAGUGAGUAAGAUAAGAAGCUCUAGCCUAUGCUACAAUAAGACUCUUGAUGCAAAGAAAGGUCCAAGACCAUGGAAAAAGCCUUCAGUGGUGAAGAUGAUGGGAAAGCAGGACAGAUUGCCACAGAUAACUGAAAGCUUCCAUUGUAAGUUUUUAAAAUAACAUCCAUCAGGAAGAGCUUAGGUCAAGCUCAGCCUACAUGGGUCUUGGGGCACAAAUCUCCCACUCUGUGAAACAGAGCUGACAAUUUCCUUAUUCAAGCUUUUUUUUGCACGGCAGGUGUCCCAGUUAACCUGCUUUUUGUAGUGUGGAACUGAUGACUCAGCUCUUCAGAACAGGAGGCUGUCUGCAGAGCCUUCCUUCUAGCACAUACAAACAAAAGAGAAGAGCACUUCUUUUGCUGUGUCUCAUAUUGUGUUUUGGAACUCACUUGUGAUGCUCUCAGAGGCUCUGUGCUCCCUUCAGACCUGAAAUCCUCACAGCUGCCACAAAGUUUCUAGCAAACAAACUCAGUGCUUUCAUUUUACACCAGAAACAACAAUUAUGUGGGAAAUCCCCCUCCCACACCCUGGAGUCCAUACUUUAGGUAGCUAGAGCUCAUCAUAUACAGCUAUAUAGGUUCAGUCCUGGUUUUAAGAUCUAUAAUGUAAAAAAAGUCACUGGGGUAAACUUUUAAGAUAAGCAUACCAAGCCUCUUCAGAUUGAGCCCUCAACUAUACGAAAAUGGCAGCAGAGAGUAGGAGACCAAAAUAAGCCUUCAUCCUCCUCCCUCUGACUACCCUCUUGCUCAACCCUACACUGCCCUACCUCAGCCAAUACAACCUACCAAGUGUAGAGCUGCUUUCAUUCUGCCAGGCCCUACUGAGUUCUCUGCUGUUGCCUUUCCCAGUUUCUCCAUUACCCUGAAGUGGUCUUCUCAGGAUGGGAGCUGCUAAUAUCUGUACAGACACUGCCUCUUGCUAUGCCUAAAUCCAGUGCACAUCCCUCAAGAGGAUGCAGGAGAACCACCUGCACAGCUCCCUGCUGCGACUCUGGUCUAACAAGCACUGGAUCAUGAAUUGAAGUUAUAGGCAGGUAACCAAGAAACACAUCAGGGAUACACAUUCUCCUCAGUUCUCAAGGGUGCAACAGCAAAGGAAAUUGCAUGGGAAAGGGAAAAAUUUACAGUUCUCUUUUUCAAAUACUUUCCAAAGGCAAAGCAUAAUAAGAGAAUCCAUAAGCUUCCUCUUCCAUUUUCUCCCUGAGGAAGCUCUUCCAAUUCCACUAUCCGGAUGGCACAAGAACAAAGAACCAAGUCAUCUUUCAGCAGAUACAUGUAUAGGUAUGGUUAAAAACCACAGUGAAUUAACUUCUAACAUGAGAAUGUUUAAUAUGCCUUCAUAAGCCCAUUCUCUUUGGCAUCUAAAGAGCACAGAGAUGACAAGAGACAGUAAUGCACCUGAAACACCACAUGCAGAGUCCAUUCCCUUAUACAGCCUGACCUGAAUGGCUCCAUGCAAAAUUAAGAUUGAAUUUGCUAUCCCAUCUCAGGGAUGGUGAAGCUGCCUGCUGGGAUGUCUGAAUCCUUAGCUGUACUGACAGGCACAGAGGUUGCUCCUUGCCCUAAAUCCAGGCAGCUCCUGGGAUGUUUGAACACUACCCUAAAAUAGGAUUAGACAAGGACUAGGCUGAUGGGAAAACACUAUCCAGAAACCCAAUUUUACUGUUUUAGUAACUGGUGAGACACCCCAUGACAGCUGGUACUCAUUUUUCAUGUUUUUGUGAUGCAAAAUAGUUCAGAAGAAAGGCUAGAAAAGAUUUUUCCUUUUUACCUUGUUUUCUCAUCUUCUAAUCCAAAGUUCCUCAACAUGUCAGUUUACACAACUGUUCAUCUUCAUGUCCUAACAGCCAACUGUUUCCACUUAAAUGAGUGGAAAAGAUCCCACCAAUUGCAA